UACAGGAAGGAAGCCUGGGCUUGAGAGGGAUACUGCUCUUAAUGACAUGUCUCUGUGUGCCUGCACCAGAGGGGGAAGUAACCGGAUAUUUAAACAGAGAUAAGAGUGUGUGCCAAAGGGGCUGGGAUUGGAUAUGGCUGCAAACCCCAUGGCAACCGGCCGGCCGCUAUUGGAUAUGGAAAGCUUUAACAUCUCCAUCUGCCUGAAGAAAACAGAAGGGACAGCCAAUCAGGCAGAAUCCACAAAAGAAUGUCCUCCCCCAACACAAAGCGUCAAUGUGCAGAUGGCCACAGCUGUCCGCGGAGAAGCUGGACAGUGUCCGACAACUGGGAAAUCAUUUAUGCAAUACAUAGUGACAUUCUGACAAAAGACUUUCACUCAACCCACUUGAAAGCACCAAAUGGCCAACUAUUACAUUUUUACCAAUGGCGCGUAAUGGUUCACGGAUACCCGCCGCUACUAACCAUCACAUCACUUCUGAUGCAUCUUUGAGUUGAAAGCCAUUGCCACUGUCCACCAACUCUGUUACAGCUCUGAUAAUUCCCCCAAAGCGGAAAAAUACUGGCUGAUGAUGGCUCCCCCUCACAUCCUCCGAUGACGCCCCCCCCUCCUACAUUGAAUGCAUCUAUGAUCCAGGGCCCGGCCAACUUCCACAGCUGUCGCGCAUUUUCAAGAGAUUCCGUCUGCCCUGGACGAGGCCGCUGAGAGAAGACAUUCCUGCGCCAUUACACAUUGCCUAAGAGGAAUUAACGUUAACAUCUGAUAUUGUGGAAGUGGGAAAUUUGCCACCCCGACCUUGCCCGAAGCACUCCGGAACUCAGGGUCAUGGAUUUAUUAUCUCAGAUGGCCCUCCCAGGUCACAAGGGGCCAUUUUCUCCCCCCACCUCACUGUUCCGGCAACACAAAAAAAAGAGAGGGGAAAAAGAAGCCUGCGGCCUUAAGUGUGCUAUUCAUUAAGUGCACUGUGCACGGUGUUGGAGGGGGGGACGGGGGGUAUUUGUAAUAGGAACGGCAUGUCUCAUCCCAUUGAGAGUCCAUUCCCAGCUGUUGAUCUACAGCUCAGCGAUGCGGCCUUCGAUUCCCCCCCUCCCCUCCACUCCCCUACCCCUCCGGAGCAGUCGCAGACACAUAAACAGGAUGCCUCCAAUGUACAACUGCACAAGUGUGGAAAAUAAUCCCAGCGCAAAGCCAACGCCCCCCUAAGCUCCAUUUCUAAAAUGAAUUGCUGGCUUCAAAGUAUGAAUGACAGGCAAAUUCCACCUGUUUUUAUCCACCUCAGGGAGCGGCCACUUUUAAUGACAUCACGAUUGCUCAGGUCUCCGGUAACAAUCAACCACGGCUCAGCUUCAGAAAAGUGAUGAGCCGUGUUUGUGACCCGAGAUCUGAGCAACUAUGAUGUCAUUUUCAGUCAACAGCAAGUGGCCAAAAGGCCACCCCCACAAACAGGUGAAUUUUCCUGCUCAACUCAUAUUUCCCAAACGUAAUAUUAACCAGAAUGCCAUGUUUAGACGAGUGAGGGCACACAACAUAUUGUACAGAAAGUUUUGAGGUUGACACUUUGAGCGACAGUUUGAGCAAUUCACUUUGCCUUUUCCAUUUUCUUUUGCAAAAUAUCAUGAAAUUAGAAUAACUUGCAAAUCAACCUGCGACGGACAACUGAUUGUGUCCUCUGUAUUUCUGUGGUACCUUCUCAUGUUAAAUUAACAAAUUAACGGCAUUCACUCAUGUGGAAAAUAACGACUGCUCUCGACAUUGUUCGCCAAGGAAAAACGCCAAUGAAAUGUUAGCAAAUUUCCCAGAAAACGUCCUUAAACCCCAACUCACCAGGAAUAUAAAUAUUAGCAUCGCUUUGAUUCUCCUCAUCAAAGUAAUGUUUUCCAGUAAAGAUUCUCUCCCUGAAAACUGGAAAGUCGUAGUGACACACGCACACGCUGGGAUCCAGAUGUUUUGAUUCCGACGUCAGUGAGGAGUCAGCGUGUGCUUUCAAAGUUUCCGUGAGUGCGAUGGCCUUAACAACGGUACAGUAGUAGAGUGUCAAGGCAGCCACUUGCACCCCAACUUCCAGGAAGUAAGCACAACUAUGUCGGAGCCUGCGUCAUUCCGUGAGUCAACUAAACAGUCUGCCGGGAUAUCUGUGAGGCACUCCAGACCCGCUCAUUCCUCUUACCGCUCUCGCUUCCAAGACUGUUCAAUUUCCGCACUGGCAGACUAUGAAGGGCCAAAGCGUUUAAUAUGAGCAAGGUAGCAUAGUGGAUUGUGAAAGGAAUAGGUCCAUUUCAUUGACUUGAUAUAUUUAAAGGUCAUCCCACUUUAAAAGGAAGAAAAUAAAGACAACACUGGUAUGUGUGAUUCAGCAACAUAUAAUGACAGAAGAAUUAAAUGCCGAAGGUGCAAUUAAUGCUUUUACACUUGUGGCCAUUUAUAUAAAAGAAUACUAGCUUUGUAGCACAGGUGGGUGGAGCUAGGGAGGGGUGCGCAACUGCCCCCCUGCAACCAUACCUGGUACCCCCAGUGGUUUUGAGGUAUUUUUCUGGAAUCAUUUUCCACAUUUCCACCUGUCCCCAUAAGCAACACCUAAUGAAUCAUCCGUACUUUUGAAACAUUAUUUGGGUUUGUGCAGAAAAAAUAAUAAUUUGCAGAUCCCUUGAGAAAAAAAAAUCCUAAUUCUGCCAGAGAUUAUCGUUCAAGUAACGCACGAGAUACAGAUUCAGAUAAAUUUACCCUUACAGUCAUCAAUUCAGACAGUGUACACCAUCUCAAGCCUUUUUCCAAGGUACAAAAUGUUCCUGGUCUAGAACUGAAUUUGACAGCUACCAAUGGAACAAGUCCAGGUACAUUGUAAAUAAAGCACCUCAAGACAAACACAAGUUCUGAAUCCAGCCUCACUUUGAUCAAUGUCGCAUCGUUGUAACUCCUGAUAAGAACGCCCCUCAAACAAAAUAAAAACUUGUCAAGUGUCUGACUGCCGUGGCCUCAGGGCCCGGUUCUUAGCUUUCCUUUUGUCUGCUCGAAGUGAACAAGUCUGUCAUUUGAGCGUCUCCUUCUCUGCUGUGUACACUUCAGAUGGUGGCCCUGACAGACUAUGAAUCAUCUGUUGGGAAACUAGGUUGCAGCACAAUAGCCUCUUCAUAAAGCGAGGCAAGGCCCGAGCGCUAAAGUAGGCGAACGUACGCCUGGUGACCAUGGUGGAAUUCGAGACCCAGCAAGUGAAGGGAAGCUGCUCUUUGCUCUGUUGUCUUUAGAACUAUUUUACACUGAGAACACCCAAGUGAGUGAUACUGUGGAUCUGUUUUGCGUUGUAUAAGGGGGCCAUAUAGACCCCUUGACCCAACAAGGCAUCAUCCCCUAACCUCCUCUGUAAAAAUAGUCAGAGGUUUUGUCUUAGAAACCAACCAAAGUGCCAAAGGAAUUUUGCAGCCGCAGGCGUCCGUCAUCUUCGUUGAAGCCAGUCACGAGCUUCUAUAAUGUCUUGACAGACUCGUUACGUAUGUCUGCAAACAUGUUCACCAGCAGCUAUUAUAUUGUGCUUGAAAAUAAGCGGAAAAUAAAACGUGCAAGAAAGAGUCCAAGAGAGUUGGUGUCAUGAUGUCAUUGGCUGACGUUAG